rnacentral:lncRNA from 1 species
GUGGGGCCCUUCCCCGCCGGCUGCCUCUGACCGUGUGCUGGAAGGCAGGCUUUCUGUGACGCUCACAUCCAGAGCCUUCCACACCCCAGCUAGCUCACGGUUCUGUGCUUUCCACCUGGGCAACAAGGUGUGUGCUUUUGUAUGUCGGUGUAGGGCGUCGCGAUUGGAUUUCGCUAGUCAGGUAUCGAGAAUGGUUGAAUUUUCCUCUACUACGUCCCUUAAAGUCUUGGGUCCUUUCUGUUUGGAGGAGGGGAAUUAGGAAUUCGCGACCGUCUCCACAUAAAUGUCGACUGGCGCAGGCUCUGGUAUUCCCGACAUUUGCUUUAUUAUAUUUGUGUAGUCAGCAAAGGAAGUCUUAUACUUUGGUUGAAUUGGGUAGAAUGGUUUGUUCUACUUCUUUUUUUCUGUUCGGCAGCAUGAUUGCUUCUACAGAUAAUAUCUGCUAAUCCCCUAAGAGUAACUGUCAACAUUUAAUCUCUCUGGUACAGUGGGCUGCUUGUGUCAUGCUUGAGAUAGAUUCAAAGACAUUAUAAACUGAAAGUCUGUUUUAACUCAAAAUGAAUAUCACAAGGAAGUCAAAAAAGUACAAGGUUAUUUUAAAAAUUCUGAACUCUUCUGAGAAACAUGGAUUACAGAUUUUUUGGAUUUACAUAUUUUUUUAAAAGCAGGUUACUGAAAAUUUAAAAGUCUAAUUAAAGUGUGAAAUUGGAUCAAGAGACAUUCAACCCAUAAAUUCUGAAUUUUUGUCAGCAGUGAUACUUGUUCUUCCUCAUGAAGUUAAACUAUCUCAGUUACCCUGGAAUAUAAAAUUUUAUUCAGUGUAAUUUAAGUGUCAAAUAUACUCUACUGAAUUCUAAUUGAUCCUGAAAAUGAUCUGUGUAUUAUAUCUGAUAACUUUCUGGAGAUGGGACCUUAUAAUCUAUUUUUACUGCAAAGUAUGUUAAAUCUCACAAAUGGACACCUCAUUUUAAAAAGUACAAUCUUUGCCAAGAGCGUAAUCAAAUAAUGUUGACACCGUCCACGAGCAGCGGUUUGGAAGUGUAGCCAGUCUAUAACUGUAGGAUUUUAAAUAAUUUUCAACAAGUUGGAAAGAUAGACGUGGGUUAGAGUUUUUCAGGCGCUAGGUGCAUCGUUAAUUAAAAUGCUUCUAAUGCCUGUCUCUCGCGAGUAAAGUUGAUAGAAAGGUGUGUAGCGCAGAGGAUGGGAGGGACACGUGAGUACAUCUGAGGCUUCCCCACGUGUUGGUGGAGAGUAUGAGGUGAUCUAAAAUAAGCAGAUCUGUACUCUGAGGUUACUUUUGCUUCAGAAUUUCCUGGUGGCCACAUUAAAAACGAAAAGAUGAAAUUAAUUGAAAAAUAAUUUAAAUUCAAAGAUGCAAAUACGAGUGUUUUCAAAACAUGGAAUCAAUAUUAAAGAGGUAUUAAAAGAUUUUGUUUUUGAGUUUGUUA